GCCGGGAGGGGGAGGCCAGGAAGGGGGUCGGGCGGGAGGGGAGGAGACCUCGGAGCAGCCAAUCGGCGCUCAGCCCAUCAGCUGACCGCUUUUGCUUACACCAGGUGCACGCCGGCUGCGGGGAGCACAAAGCGGGGCGCAUCGAGGGCGCCGGCAGCGAGCCGGGGAGCUAGGCGAGGCCCGUGCGCCAGCGGCCGCAGCGCCCUCCGAUUGGGGAGAGGGGCUGGUGGUGUUAGCCAGGCGGCGGAAUCCGCGCGGUGGCAUCCCUAGUUGCCCCGGGUGCCUUUCUCGGGACCUGGCCGCUCUCUGCCUCGCCCUCUGCGCCCCACUUCUCCAGUCCUCCUUCCCAAUCCUGCCUGCCUCUGCCCCGACCCCGGAGAGUCGGAUUGAGCCCAGGCCCGCGCAGCAGCUGUUGCUCGUGUCGUUGCCUCUCCUCCUGUCUUGGUGCUCUGCUGGGAACCCCCCAAGGAGCCGCUGCGCGCUGCGGGCUGGGAGGGAGGCGCCGUUCGGCCGGUCGUCCUCCUCCUGCCGCCGCCGCGGGUCCGUGCGCACCCCACACCCCCGCCGGCCGGGCCUCGGGGCAGGGCACUUGCAAGAACUGGCUCUGUGACUGUGGAUGACAGAUAGUUUCAGAGCUGGCACAUCUCCAGACUUUGAUUUGGCUGAAGUAACUUAUACCACAGAGCUGUGGGCAUGCCUGGAAUUGAGAGACACAGUUAAAAGACUCCCAAUUGCUUCCUGCCUUUUUGAAAACUACUGAAAACCAUCCCUUCAGACUCCGGAGUUUUACACAUCUCAACCGAGACUUUGCUUGAAUGUUUACAUUUUCUGCUUGCUGUCCUACAUACCACUAUCCAGUGUUCACCUUUUGUUAAAACUUAGGCGUGUCAGGAGUUG
rnacentral:lncRNA from 1 species